UCAGAGUCACUCCUUGGUGGAUCUUUUGCAAAAUCUGAGCCGAGCUUUUGCCAAUGCAUAUGAUUCCCUUAUGAAGGCUUUUGUAGAACAUAAUAAGUUUGGUAAUCUUCCCUGUGGAUUUCGGGCAAAUACAUGGCUUGUUCCUCCGCCUGUAGGUGAGUCUCCAUCAAACUUCCCAUCUGCAGAAGAUGAGAGUUGGGGUGGCAAUGGUGGUGGACAAGGAAGAAAUGGUGAAUAUGAUCUUCGACCAUGGGCCUCAGACUUUGAAAUAUUGGCUAGGCUACCAUGCAAGACUGAGGAGGAGAGAGUGACACGAGACCGAAAGGCCUUUUUGCUUCACAGCCAAUUUGUUGAUGUUGCAAUUUUUAAAGCUGCUAGAGCAAUACGCCGCCCCG
rnacentral:misc_RNA from 1 species